UACGAAGGGGGCUAGCGUUGUUCGGAAUUACUGGGCGUAAAGGGCGCGUAGGCGGCACGAUUAGUCAGAAGUGAAAUCCCCGGGCUCAACCUGGGAACCGCUUUUGAUACUGUCGAGCUAGAGUUUCGGAGAGGAUGGUGGAAUUCCCAGUGUAGAGGUGAAAUUCGUAGAUAUUGGGAAGAACACCGGCGGCGAAGGCGGCCAUCUGGACGAACACUGACGCUGAGGCGCGAAAGCGUGGGGAGCAAACAGG
rnacentral:rRNA from 1 species